GUGUGUGAAGCAGGGCCGCCAUCAGGGAGGUACAACCCAUACAUCUGUAUGGGGCCCGGAGCUUCAGGAGGCCGGACGUCCCUGGACCUUUUUUUUUAAUUUUUUUUAUUGGCCUGUCAGUGAGUGACUGCCACUGUCACUCACUGACCGCUGGGUGCCCUCAGGACUAUGACCGGGCAUAAGAUACAGGUCAGGGGCUGAUUGGAGUAGAGACGUCACGUGCCCCGUGCAGGCACGCACGUGAUGUCUACUUCAGUCACCUGACCUGUCCCUGCCUACGUCCUCACGCGAUCUCCAGCAUCCAGUGACGGGACUAGGAGCAGCAGCCUCACUCCACAUCCGAUCCCCGGCAGGAGGAUGAGGAUCUGCUGACAAAGUGAGGAGCCAAUGAUGUGUGGAUGUCAGACUCUGCAGAGAAGAUGGAGCUGGAGGAAGACCUGGUCUCUGGAUGAGAUGAAGAAGAAAAGAAUAAAUACUGGGUACUCAGCCAGAGGAAGUGCGUCAGCACAAAACAGCCUGUCCUGAGAACCCCCCUGCAUCCUCACCCAUGCUCCCCACCACCUGUCUUCAUGUACACGGAACAAUAAAGAUAUAGCAUCUUGCAGUUUACCGAUCUAUGUAUCCUGUGGACUCCUUCGGUGGACUACGUCGAUGACCAGCAUUUCUUCUUUGUUUAACGUUAAGAAAAUGGUUAACGAGGGCUUGUGGGGGAGAGGUUUUUUUGGAAUAAUUUUUUUUUUAUGUGUUGUAUUUUUUUUAUUUACUUGACAGGCUAAGAAGUGGAAGCUGUCUAAUAGAUGGAGUCCAUUACUAAGCUGGGCUUAGCGUUAGCCACAAAAACAGCUGGCGCUAUCCCCCAAUUAUUAGCCCGGUACCCAACGCCACAGGGGUGCCGAAAAGAGCCGGUACCAACAGGCCCAGAGCGUCAAAAAUUGCGCUCCUUGGCCUAGAUGGUAACAGGCUGGCAUUAU